UACGAAGGGGACUAGCGUUGUUCGGAAUUACUGGGCGUAAAGCGCGCGUAGGCGGACUGAUAAGUCAGAGGUGAAAUCCCAGGGCUCAACCCUGGAACGGCCUUUGAUACUGUUAGUCUAGAGUACAGGAGAGGCUAGUGGAAUUCCGAGUGUAGAGGUGAAAUUCGUAGAUAUUCGGAGGAACACCAGUGGCGAAGGCGGCUCACUGGCUCGAUACUGACGCUGAGGUGCGAAAGUGUGGGGAGCAAACAGG
rnacentral:rRNA from 1 species